GUGCUUAACACAUGCAAGUCGAACGAGAAAACUCUGGCUUGCCAGAGUAAGUAAAGUGGCGCACGGGUGAGUAACACGUGGGUAACCUACCUUCAAGUCAGGGAUAACAUUGCGAAAGCGAUGCUAAUACCUGAUAAGCUUACAACAUCUGAUGAUGAAGUGAGAAAAGGUGGCCUCUGAUAUAAGCUAUCACUUGGAGAUGGGCCCGCGCACCAUUAGCUUGUUGGUAGGGUAAUGGCCUACCAAGGCUAUGAUGGUUAGCUGGCCUGAGAGGGCGGCCAGCCACACUGGAACUGGAACACGGUCCAGACUCCUACGGGAGGCAGCAGUGGGGAAUAUUGCGCAAUGGGGGAAACCCUGACGCAGCGACGCCGUGUGAGUGAUGAAGGCUUUCGGGUCGUAAAGCUCUGUCAGACGGGAAGAAUAAAAGCAGGGAAAAUAUUUCUGUUUUAUGACGGUACCGUCAAAGGAAGCACCGGCUAACUCCGUG
rnacentral:rRNA from 1 species